rnacentral:lncRNA from 1 species
GAUUUAAAUUUAUCCUUUCCUUAAUUGGUUUCCUAAUUUGAUUCGACUGAUUCGACUUGAACUUUAUCUUAAUUUAAUCAUAUCAAAUUAAUAAUACAAUAUUUGCACAUAAAUCCUCUCAUAAUUUACUAACUAUUAGUAAGUCCUCUCUUAUAACAUUUAUACUUUAAUACCACUAAUUUGUAACAAUUAUAAAUUAGUCCAAUUAUCAACAUAUUGACAAUUAGGUCCUCCGGCAAUUUAAAAAUCGUGAUCUAGCUAUCCGAUCAGUUACAACCUCUUAUGUGUGUGAACCCAUAGAUUCUAUUCUAUUUGGUAGUGAGAUAUAUUUUGAUCACUUUCAACAAUAUCACUG